UGGGGAAUAUUGGACAAUGGGCCACGAGCCUGAUCCAGCAAUUCUGUGUGGACGAUGAAGGUUUUCGGAUUGUAAAGUCCUUUCAGUAGGGAAGAAAAAAAUGACGGUACCUACAGAAGAAGCACCGGCUAAUUAUGUGCCAGCAGCCGCGGUAAGACAUAAGGUGCGAGCGUUAUCCGGAAUCACUGGGCGUAAAGGGCAUCUAGGCGGUUUAUUAAGUCAGGGGUGAAAAGCCGAAGCUCAACUUUGGUCUUGCCUUUGAAACUGAUAGACUAGAAUACGGGAUAGGAGGGCGGAACUACAAGUGUAGAGGUGAAAUUCGUAGAUAUUUGUAGGAAUGCCGAUGACGAAGGUAGCUCUCUGGACCGAUAUUGACGCUGAAGUGCGAAAGCUAGGGUAG
rnacentral:rRNA from 1 species